rnacentral:lncRNA from 10 species
GAUUUGAUUUUGGGGCCCUUGGGGUUCAGCUAUAACCUGUCUCUUCUGAGAUGAUGUAAUUAUCCUCCCUCCAGGUGGAGGCAGUUCACCACCGUUCCUCUCGGAUAUAUGUGCAUUUGGAGAAGACCCUUAUUCCAUCACAAAGCACAGGAUGGGAGUAGAAUCCUGGCUCAUCUACUCUAAUGAGUGCUCACAGAACACCAAGCAAUGGCCCGAUUUUUCAUGUAGCAGAAGCACAGCUGCCUUCUCUCUAACCUACACCUCCUCCUCUAUUCCUGACCUUGAGAACAUCAUUUAAAAUAGUAUUAAGUGCAUAGUAGAG